rnacentral:rRNA from 1 species
GAUGAACGCUGGCGGCGUGCCUAAUACAUGCAAGUCGGGCGAACGGACGAGAAGCUUGCUUCUCUGAUGUUAGCGGCGGACGGGUGAGUAACACGUGGAUAACCUACCUAUAAGACUGGGAUAACUUCGGGAAACCGGAGCUAAUACCGGAUAAUAUUUUGAACCGCAUGGUUCAAAAGUGAAAGACGGUCUUGCUGUCACUUAUAGAUGGAUCCGCGCUGCAUUAGCUAGUUGGUAAGGUAACGGCUUACCAAGGCAACGAUGCAUAGCCGACCUGAGAGGGUGAUCGGCCACACUGGAACUGAGACACGGUCCAGAGUCCUACGGGAGGCAGCAGUAGGGAAUCUUCCGCAAUGGGCGAAAGCCUGACGGAGCAACGCCGCGUGAGUUAUGAAGGUCUUCGGAUCGUAAAACUCUGUUAUUAGGGAAGAACAUAUGUGUAAGUAGCUGUGCACAUCUUGACGGUACCUAAUCAGAAAGCCACGGCUAACUACGUG